AUUGAACGCUGGCGGCAGGCCUAACACAUGCAAGUCGAACGAGUGGCGGACGGGUGAGUAAUGUCUGGGAAACUGCAUGAUGGAGGGGGAUAACUACUGGAAACGGUAGCUAAUACCGCAUACGACCGGAUGUGCCGCUAUGGGAUUAGCUAGUAGGUGGGGUAACGGCUCACCUAGGCGACGAUCCCUAGCUGGUCUGAGAGGAAUACCAGCCACACUGGAACUGAGACACGGUCCAGACUCCUACGUGAGGCAGCAGUGGGGAAUAUUGCACAAUGGGCGCAAGCCUGAUGCAGCCAUGCCGCGUGUAUGAAGAAGGCCUUCGGGUUGUAAAGUACUUUCAGCGAGGAGGCGUUACUCGCAGAAGAAGCACCGGCUAACUCCGUGCCAGCAGCCGCGGUAAUAC
rnacentral:rRNA from 1 species